AAGAUUCUCAGGAAUUUGGGGGGAUGGCUCAGUCAGGUGCCACCGUCUCUGCUCCUUUUCUGGCCUCCCUUGUGACCCACACAGCUGUCCUACAGACUGUGGAAGAAUGUGGGGUCUCUACCUGCGGUCCUCUGCUGUGGAGAAGCCCUUCCUGCUGGAGACGAUGCCAGGAUCUCAGGACACAACCUGACUGCGAUCCCUGAAGUUGUACAGGGGACACAAAUGGGAGAACGGACAAUUCUUCGGAGAUGCCACGUAAGGCAAUGAGGGCUGCUGGGUCACCACGUCUACAACACGUCAUCAGACAUUUCAAAUACAGGUGGGUGGAUGGAGACGAGGGCAAAAGGUCAGCAGUUGUUGCAUCUGGAUGGAGGCUUCACAAGUGGUUGUAUGUAUGUUCUUUCCGUUGUUGUCUAUGUUUGGAAAUUGUCAAGUAGAAAGGUGGGGAAAAUACUCUCUGGGUAAGGUAAGAGGAACAGCUGUCCUCUCGUGGCUGGUAGUUUUGGGCUCUAGCCGAGGACUUCCCUUCUUGUGCUCAAGGUGCAGUGUUUCCCCUAUACUUCGGGGUUCUUUAAAACUUGGGCAUAGUGGCUGUUCACGACAGGUUUCCAUUUUCUGCUGUCUGCCCUGGGGCCACCUCUGUGCCUCUCACUGGCUUCAUCCUCGGCCGGUUGGACCUUCUGAGGAGCUACCAGACCCUGCCCUGGCUGCCAUGGCAACAGAGGAGCAGCCCCUGGAGGAACAUGAAAGAGAAUGGAGAGCCUCUUAUUUUUAAGAUUUCUAGACAUCCGUGGGCUCUGGCAGCGUGGGCAGAGGCAGGUCAGAACAUUCCCCGGGCCAGCAAGCUGUGACCGCCACGGGACAAACCCAACUGGGACGGAGGCCUGGGCAGGCACCUUCCUGGGGUAUUGGGGCAGGAGCAAGCAGAAAGCCCUAUCUUCACCCACUGCACCCCGUGCCAGCCUCCUUGCUGACCUUGCCUGAAGGUCCCUCCAUCAGUCACCACAAGCAAAGAGUGGGUGCUGACAUUAAGCCUUGGAGGUUGUUUGAAAAGCUAAUCUUGCCUUAGAAGGCGCCGGGGCUGGUGUGAGAGUGUCCACCCCACUCACAUCGGAUGGUUUUUCUUAUGGGCUGAGCUGUGUUUCCCCCCCCCCCCAACCCCAGUUUCGUGUUAGGGCACCUCACAAUGUGACUGUAUUUGGAGACAGGAUUUUUAAAGAGGUAAUUAUGUUAAAAGGAGGGUGGGCCCUAAUCCAUUAUGACAGGAGUCCUUGGACAUCCGCAGACAGAAGAUCAUCUAGGGACACGGGAGAAGAUGGCCAGCUACAAGCCAAGGAGAGAGGCUUCUGAAGCAACCAACCCUGCAGACACGAUCUUGAACUUGUAAACCUCCAGGACGGCGGCGACAUAAAUUUCAGUUGUUUCAGCCUCCCAGUCUGUGAUGCUUGUCAUGGUGGCCUUAGCCCACUAACACAGUCCCUGUCCCCAGAAUGUCCUGUCUGGUGCCCCAUCUUCUCAUCUCUCUCCACUCUGGGGUCUUCCCUCCCGGGCCACCAGCCCCGGCUUUCACAGUCUCUGAGACAGUUGCAAAUGCAAGCCUGGUCAGGACGUUUCUUGAACUGCAGGUGUGCUGGAACCUUCUGGAGAAUGGAGCACAAUGAGCAUGAGCAGGGGGGCUCUGGAGUGCUUCCUGAGAAGGUGUGAUGAGGGUGAGCUCCCCAUGCCCUUUCAUAAAUGGCUCAGCAUAAGCUAACGGCAGCAAGAACCGUCCCUGCAGCCUGCUAGGCGGCCCACAUGCCCAGCAGCAGCAUCCAUUGAACUAUGACUUUGGGGUUCCUCUCCCUACAUAACUGCCUUCAUCCCCUUUCCAGCGCAACGCCUUGCUUGUACGUCCCAGCCUUGGGAAUUGGUGGAAUAUAGAAUGACCUGUCUGCGAAAGGCCUCAGCAAGUGCAAGCUGGCCCCGAUUCCCAAGGAAUAACAAUAAAACUAGCACACAGACCCCAUCUCCCAGCUUCGCAUUCCUUCUUUGGCAGAAUGGAGAGGGAAGACCUUUGAGAAGCAGCGAUCUGGGGUGAUGUCCACCCCUCACCCAUUAGUACCAUGCUCACAGCAUCAGGGAGCCCCCGUGACGAGUAUGUGUGAGCGAUAAGAGAACGCCAGUCUGUAGGUUGGGAGCCGUGGACGCUGGCCCACAGGGGCCCCAUGUGUAAAUGGGAGGAGAGGGCACAUUGUUAGAGAAGGGAAAAAAUCUACCUACCCCUGGCCUGCUCAUGCCAGGCAGGCUCUCUAGACCCGCGGCCCCAGGCUCUGCCCUCCCAACUCUGGACUCUCCUGCCAGUUCUGGGGCCAUUGCUGCUGGUGGGGGUGGUCCCGGGCCAGCCUGUUGGCUCCAGUUCUGGCCUCGGCAGGGGUCUGAUGCAUCACCCAUCCUCACCGUACCAAGCUCUGCUGAGAGCAGUGUGCCAGACAUCUACCCAAUGUCUAGUUUCCCCUUCUUCCUACCAGCGGGACCCUGACUGGGGUUGGGGGAUAGCCAUGUGCCCAGGUAAAAUGCUUCCUUGGAUCCUUUGUAGCUAGUGGUGGCCACGUUGACCCAGUUCUGCCCAAUGGAAUAAGAGGGAAGUCGGCAGGGAGAUAUUAAAAAAAGAAAUGACUCAUCUGGCAUGUUUGGCAGCCCUUGACCUCUGACUGCUGACUUCACCCUAUCCCUUUUUGCCUUCCUAGAAGACAGAUUGGAUGCCUGGAGGCACAGCAGCCAUCUUUCACCCAUGAGGAGAGAAGUCAGUUCUCUGCAGCUGAACACAGUCCUCACUGAGACACAGCUCUUCCUAUGCAAAGUCUGGUAGCUCCUUCUGAAAUCUCAGCACCUACCCCAGCCCCAGAGCAGCCUGGCCCAUGGAUGGUUGGGCCUCUUUCCUGACCCCACCGCACGGAGGUGAUGGCCCGAAGGUAUGGGAUCGCAGGUUUAGAGAAGAAUUGAUCACCUUCCAGGACACCAUACGGUUUACUUUCGUUGUGUUGGCUGUGUGAUGUCUACGCUUUUCUCCCCACCCCCAGGAUGAAGCCCCACACAGACAAGGGUCUGGGUCUGCUUUGUCCUUUAAUGCCUUUCUAAAAGCCUGGAAGCAUUUCUGGCAUAGAGAAAGCAUUUGCUGACUGGAAUUAAUAGCUAUGUGUCCUAAGCACCAGCUGUUCUGGGCUGACUUGUGUCCCCCCCCCCCAGUUUGCAUGUUGAAGUCCUAACCCCAGGACCUCCGAAUGUGAACCGUAUUUCGAUAUGGGGUCUUUGGAGAGGUAGUUAAGUUAAAAGGAGGUCGGUAGGGUGGGCCCGGAUCCAAUAGGACUGGUGUCCUCGUAAGAAGAACUGAUUAGGGACCCAGAAUGCAGAGAAGGAAGACGAUGUGAAGACACAACAGGAAGAUGCCCAACCACGAGCCCAGGAGAGAAGCCUUAGAAGAAACCAUCCGUGCUGACAUCCUGAUCUCGGACUCCCAGCCUUCAGAAUCAUGAGACAUAAAUGUCUGUAGUUUAGGCCACCCACCACGUCCGUGGUCUUUUGCUAUGGUGGCCCUAGCACACGGAAACAGCAGCCAUACCUGA